GACGAACGCUGGCGGCGUGCCUAAUACAUGCAAGUCGAGCGCUGAAGGCUGGUACUUGUACCGACUGGAUGAGCAGCGCACGGGUGAGUAACGCGUGGGGAAUCUGCUUUUGAGUGGGGUACAACAUUUGGAAACGAGUGCUAAUACCGCAUAAGAACUUUAAACACAAGUUUUAUGGUUGAAAGUUGCAAUUGCAUCACUCAAUGAUGAUCCCGCGUUGUGUUAGCUAGUUGGUGAGGUAAAGGCUCACCAAGGCGAUGAUACAUAGCCCACCUGACAGGGCGGGCAGCCGCAUUGGGACGGUGACCCGGCCCAUAGUGCCUCGGGAGGGAGCAGUAGGGAAUCGGGAGGAAGGGGCGGAAGUCUGACCGAGCAACGCCGAGGGAGGAAAGAAGGAUGUCGGAUCGGAAAUCUCUGUUGGUGGGGAAGAACGUGGGUGAGCGUGGAAAGCUCAGCAAGUGACGGUAACUAGUCAGAAAGCGACGGCUAACUACGUG
rnacentral:rRNA from 1 species